ensembl:lncRNA
GGCAAUUGUUGCAUACAUUUUUUUUAUGCCAACUUUCUAAAUGUCGACAACAAAAUCACUGGACAAGUUCAUGUAAACAUAGGUACUGUCACAUUUGUUUUGAAGUUAUCGGUGGACACAGACAGAUUAACAUCUUGAUUUUGUGUUUAGCAGAGAUCUUCAGUGUAUAAAGUGACGUGGAAGGGAAAAAAUGCAUCUAAAGAUGUACUUAGCUGUUCUACGAGUGUGAACUAGUCAUUUAAUAUUGAGCGUUUUCGAAAGCAAUUUUUGUAACAAUGGUUUUGGGAAACAGCUUGGAGUUCUAACUAUGCUCCUAUGAAUGUUCUAACGAUUAACUUAGCCUUAAGACGCUUUUGGGAAACCAGGCCCAGCUAGCGAUAUAGCUUGGCUUACUAGCUAGUUAGUUGUCUAUGACCUAACGUUAGUUAGUUAGAUAGCUAAUUUGCUAGUUAACAUGUCCACUAAUAUCGGCGAUACGUCACUAUCCAGCGACAAACAAACAACUUUUUACCUUAACAUAAUAGCUAGUUUUUUAUGUUUGGACAUUCAACACUGGUAAAAUAAUCCAAUCUCUGAUGACCAUGUCCUAAAGCUACUACUCAAUGGUUACUACUUCUUCUAUAGUAUUAUGGCGGUCCGCAACAAAUGUUAGAGGUGCAUGCCACCACCUACUGGGAUAGGUGAAAACUGAUCAACUUUAAUGUAGAAAUAAUACGAAUGACAAAGGGUAAAACAGCCAUGUUGUGGACACUGACGUCUUGCUCCCGGACAAGCUAAACACCUCAUUCGCCCUUUUUGAGGAUAACACAGUGCUGCAGACGCGGGCCGCUCCUGAGGACUGUGAGCUCUUGUUCUUCAUGGCUGACUGACGCACUCAAUCACCAUGAUGAAGGCUUUACCAGAUAUGUUCCCAUCACCUGUGGCUCCACCAAAGAAGUUAGGACAUUGUCACAACUCCCACCGAAGGUGGCAACCCUGCCUGUUCGGGUGGCGCUCGGCGGUCGUCGUCGCUGGUCUACUAGCUGCCACCGAUCCCAUUUUCCUUUUCUGUUUGUUUGGUCUUAUUGGUUGCAGUUGUCUCUUUUAUUUUGUUUUUUGAUUCAGUCUAUUUAAGCCUGUUAGGCCUGCCUGUUUUUGUGCGGGCUUGUUUUUCUGUUUGUCAGGUUGUGCGUGGUGUGUUCCUGUCUGUUUGUGCCCUGUGUUGCGUUGGACCAUUUUGUGUCGAUUUUCACCUGUUGUUUUGGGCGUUCGCUUUGGAAACCUAAUAAAGUCGGUUUCCCCAGUAUCAUCUGCUCUCUGCAUUUGACUCCGUACCCACCACUCCAGGCCUGGUGACAGACAUGCAAGGGAGGCUAUGCUUCACAUUCUUGAAUCUGCAGAAGACCCCAACACCUUUCUUCAGGCGAGACCACUCUUCAGCCCUGUCGUGAUUGUCUGCGAAACAAACUGCGUACUGGCCAUUGAAACCAUGCCUGUGGUGACCUUCCCAAAAGAGGACAUCUAUGCCAGAGUGACGUAUCUCAUGGCAUGUUAUUACGCCUUUCACCUCACAUAUCCCAAGUGUAUGGCGACACUCCUCUCAAUGCAGCAGACAUAAGUCCUCUCGGACGCCAUUCACGACCGGGACAAGACUUCUUCAUAUAAAAAGACUAUGGCCAAGUGGAAAAAGUUCAUUACUGACUACGGUUGCAACAUUUCUUCAUUUCCGGUCCCGAUAACAGAACUGUGUGUAUUGGCCCACACGAGAACCGAUCCGAUAACCUUUAAUAAAUAGGCAGGGCAUUUGUUGUUUAUUAUAAGAAGGUUUAAAGCACUGUUAUGUUUGUUAUCUUCCCAUUGGUCUUACAUUUUUACCUUGACCACCAAUAGCCUUUGUUGUUGUUUUUGCACACUUUGUUCUGCCCAUAUCAGCCUCUUGAGUCCUCAAUAAAGAAGAGAAAAGAAAU